rnacentral:rRNA from 1 species
CGUAACAAGGUCUCCGUUGGUGAACCAGCGGAGGGAUCAUUACCGAGUUUACAACUCCCAAACCCCUGUGAACAUACCACUUGUUGCCUUCGGCGGAUCAGCCCGCUCCCGGUAAAACGGGACGGCCCGCCAGAGGACCCCUAAACUCUGUUUCUAUAUGUAACUUCUGAGUAAAACCAUAAAUAAAUCAAAACUUUCAACAACGGAUCUCUUGGUUCUGGCAUCGAUGAAGAACGCAGCAAAAUGCGAUAAGUAAUGUGAAUUGCAGAAUUCAGUGAAUCAUCGAAUCUUUGAACGCACAUUGCGCCCGCCAGUAUUCUGGCGGGCAUGCCUGUUCGAGCGUCAUUUCAACCCUCAAGCACAGCUUGGUGUUGGGACUCGCGUUAAUUCGCGUUCCUCAAAUUGAUUGGCGGUCACGUCGAGCUUCCAUAGCGUAGUAGUAAAACCCUCGUUACUGGUAAUCGUCGCGGCCACGCCGUUAAACCCCAACUUCUGAAUGUUGACCUCGGAUCAGGUAGGAAUACCCGCUGAACUUAUGCAUAUCAAUAAGGGGGGAGGGAA